rnacentral:rRNA from 1 species
GCACAAGCGGUGGAUGAUGUGGAUUAAUUCGAUGCAACGCGAAAACCUUACCUACCCUUGACAUGUCCGGAAUCCUGCAGAGAUGCGGGAGUGCCCGAAAGGGAAUCGGAACACAGGUGCUGCAUGGCUGUCGUCAGCUCGUGUCGUGAGAUGUUGGGUUAAGUCCCGCAACGAGCGCAACCCUUAUCAUUAGUUGCUACGCAAGGGCACUCUAAUGAGACUGCCGGUGACAAACCGGAGGAAGGUGGGGAUGACGUCAAGUCCUCAUGGCCCUUAUAGGUGGGGCUACACACGUCAUACAAUGGAUGGUACAAAGGGUCGCCAACCCGCGAGGGGGAGCCAAUCCCAUAAAGCCAUUCGUAGUCCGGAUCGCAGUCUGCAACUCGACUGCGUGAAGUCGGAAUCGCUAGUAAUCGUGGAUCAGAAUGUCACGGUGAAUACGUUCCCGGGUCUU